UACGGGGGGGGCAAGCGUUGUUCGGAAUUACUGGGCGUAAAGGGCUCGUAGGCGGCCAACUAAGUCGGAUGUGAAAUCCCCAGGCUUAACCUGGGAACUGCAUCCGAUACUGGAUGGCUUGAAUCCGGGAGAGGGAUGCGGAAUUCCAGGUGUAGCGGUGAAAUGCGUAGAUAUCUGGAGGAACACCGGUGGCGAAGGCGGCAUCCUGGACCGAGAUUGACGCUGAGGCGCGAAAGCCAGGGGAGCAAACGGG
rnacentral:rRNA from 1 species